UGGGGAAUUUUCCGCAAUGGGGGCAACCCUGACGGAGCAACGCCGCGUGGGGGAUGAAGGCCUUCGGGUUGUAAACCCCUUUCAGGAGGGAAGAAAUUGACGGUACCUCCAGAAGAAGCCCCGGCCAACUACGUGCCAGCAGCCGCGGUAAUACGUAGGGGGCAAGCGUUGUCCGGAAUUAUUGGGCGUAAAGAGCUCGUAGGCGGCUCAGCAAGUCGGCUGUGAAAUCCCGAGGCUCAACCUCGGAACUGCAGUCGAUACUGCUGUGGCUAGAGUCUGGUAGAGGAGAAUGGAAUUCCCAGUGUAGCGGUGAAAUGCGCAGAUAUUGGGAGGAACACCAGUAGCGAAGGCGGUUCUCUGGGCCAGCACUGACGCUGAGGAGCGAAAGCGUGGGUAGCAAACAGGAUUAGAUACCCCUGUAGUCC
rnacentral:rRNA from 1 species